rnacentral:misc_RNA from 1 species
GGUUUAUGCUUAAGAAUGGAGUCAUCUGAACCAUCAGAUUCAUCCAUCCAAUUCUGGCGGAGAAAAAAUUUACUUGAAAGAGACUGGUCAGCCAACUCAACUAGACCCGCAGCAAGCACAUCAGCAGAUCGUUCCAUCUCCAGCAAUGCAAAAUUCCAAGAACACUAAAUAAGAGGCAAUAAAGCACACAAAUCUUCAUGUAUAAAGCUUCAAGCUGAAGAGUGAAGCAAACCUCAAUCUUCCAAGUCCCAACAAGACAUUAGCAAGUAGAAGAAAAAAAGGAAAAUUAAGCAAGUCAAGACAGCAUUAUGGUUCAACAAGGUUGGAACUAAACAGACUUGAGAUAAAGCACAAGCAGUCUGAGAACUAAACAAGAUUAUUCGGGCACUGUCUAUGAAGCAUGGAAUGAAUUGCUAGUGCUGCUUGAUGACCAUUAGUGGCAAUGGGAAACCCAAGUCUACCUCAUUUUGAUAGUAUACUUCUGUAAAGAUUAAAACCUAAAUUGCAAACAAUUAUGUUUUCACUAACAGACAACUGAAUCAUAAUACAUCGUAAUUCAACAACUAAACAAUAAUAGCAUUCUUUUUCUUUUUUUUCAGAAAAAAGCUCACCUCUUUAAGUGCAGUGCCAUCUAGAUAUGUCUUUGUAUGAACAUGAAAACGCCCAUCCUUUUUAGUUUCUUGCCAAGAAUGACCUUGCAUUGCUUUUGAAACAGCAAUAGUCA